CAGGGGGAGCUUGCCCCCGAAGACGAGCGGCGGACGGGUGAGUAAUGCAUAGGAAUCUGCCCGGUAGUGGGGGAUAACCUGGGGAAACCCAGGCUAAUACCGCAUACGUCCUACGGGAGAAAGGGGGCUCCGGCUCCCGCUAUUGGAUGAGCCUAUGUCGGAUUAGCUAGUUGGUGAGGUAAAGGCUCACCAAGGCAACGAUCCGUAGCUGGUCUGAGAGGAUGAUCAGCCACAUCGGGACUGAGACACGGCCCGAACUCCUACGGGAGGCAGCAGUGGGGAAUAUUGGACAAUGGGGGCAACCCUGAUCCAGCCAUGCCGCGUGUGUGAAGAAGGCCUUCGGGUUGUAAAGCACUUUCAGCGAGGAAGAACGCCUAGUGGUUAAUACCCAUUAGGAAAGACAUCACUCGCAGAAGAAGCACCGGCUAACUCCGUGCCAGCAGCCGCGGUAAUACGGAGGGUGCAAGCGUUAAUCGGAAUUACUGGGCGUAAAGCGCGCGUAGGUGGCUUGAUAAGCCGGUUGUGAAAGCCCCGGGCUCAACCUGGGAACGGCAUCCGGAACUGUCAAGCUAGAGUGCAGGAGAGGAAGGUAGAAUUCCCGGUGUAGCGGUGAAAUGCGUAGAGAUCGGGAGGAAUACCAGUGGCGAANGCGGCCUUCUGGACUGACACUGACACUGAGGUGCGAAAGCGUGGGUAGCANACAGGAUUAGAUACCCUGGUAGUCCACGCCGUANACGAUGUCGACCAGCCGUUGGGUGCCUAGCGCACUUUGUGGCGAAGUUAACGCGAUAAGUCGACCGCCUGGGGAGUACGGCCGCAAGGUUAAAACUCA
rnacentral:rRNA from 1 species